rnacentral:piRNA from 1 species
UACCCAUGUCCGAAAUGAACGUCUUCA